AGAAAGAAAGAACCUAUUGGUACCAAUCUACACAGGAUAAUUUGUAUAUUGAUACAAAUACAGAACCAUAUUGUUGUAAGGUAGGAAAUGUCGCCCGAGAGAGGGCAAGGAUACGCUAUUCUGUGUGCUGAGUGCAAACUGCUCUUUCGUCUGCCUAGGACGACUUAACACAAGGGCUUGCCAUCGGCAGGGGAUGAGCUGAGGCACAGUUCCUGACACAUCCCAGGUCUGUGGCGUCAUCCACAGGAGUAAGCCAGGCACCAGUGCUGGCCACACCUACUAGCACUGUGUCCAGAGUCACACAGGAUGGAGACAUCUGCCCAACACACAUUCCUGCUUCAUUUGAGGAGAAAUCAACGAAUCUGUGUCUUCUCUCCAGAGAACUUACCAUCCCACAGCUGCACGGCAGGAACUUCCAAAAGACUCAGGAAUGACAACCAUGCGGUCCGGACUCCAGAGUGUCCCCUGAAGAGUUGUCAUGAAAUGCGUACGGACAACGACCCAGCCCUCUCCACACUUAGAACGUCUGUGUCAAGCCAAGAUGGUUCCUGUGUCUAGAAUUCUGAAUUCUGCAGGCCAGAGCAGCUUCUUGAGGAAGCAAAACUCUGACGGUACAAAAGACCUCUACAUUGUCUGCGGGGACUUGAACGACCGGGCCAGAGGAACAAGGGGAAUAACGAUGGUGUCCCCUCCUCUUCUUCCUCCUCCUUCCUCUUUGUCUGUGUGAACCGCGUUCCUGUGGCUCAGGCUGCCUUUGUUGGCCUUCCGCUCCCCCCACUCCAGCCCUGAGGGCUAAGACCACAGGGCAGAAGUCUGACUUUGGAAAUGCGCAUGCUGCCUGUGCAAACACCUUACUCACCCCCUCAUUUUCCCAGAGGACACUGCUGGUGGCAAAGGCUAGCCCUAACCUGGAGCGCCUGGACCUGGAGCUGCUGAAGCAGUGACCUCCGAGGACCCCUGUCCCAUCAUGUUUCUACCUACCACAAGUAUUUCAUUUGCACUGCCCCCCAAAUACAUUUCAUCAAGGUU